rnacentral:rRNA from 1 species
AUUGAACGCUGGCGGCAUGCCUUACACAUGCAAGUCGAACGGGUAACGCGGGGCAACCUGGCGACGAGUGGCGAACGGGUGAGUAAUAUAUCGGAACGUGCCCAGUAGUGGGGGAUAGCCCGGCGAAAGCCGGAUUAAUACCGCAUGAGACCUGAGGGUGAAACGGGGGAUCGCAAGACCUCGCGCUAUUGGAGCGGCCGAUAUCAGAUUAGGUAGUUGGUGGGGUAAAGGCCUACCAAGCCGACGAUCUGUAGCUGGUCUGAGAGGACGACCAGCCACACUGGGACUGAGACACGGCCCAGACUCCUACGGGAGGCAGCAGUGGGGAAUAUUGGACAAUGGGCGCAAGCCUGAUCCAGCAAUGCCGCGUGUGUGAAGAAGGCCUGCGGGUUGUAAAGCACUUUCAGUGGGGAAGAACAGGUUCGGGUCAAUACCCCGGAGCCCUGACGUUACCCACAGAAGAAGCACCGGCUAACUCCGUG